rnacentral:rRNA from 1 species
CUGACGAGCGGCGGACGGGUGAGUAAUGUAUGGGGAUCUGCCCGAUAGAGGGGGAUAACUACUGGAAACGGUAGCUAAUACCGCAUAACGUCGAAAGACCAAGAGGGGGACCUUCGGGCCUCUUGCCAUCAGAUGUGCCCAGAUGGGAUUAGCUAGUAGGUGGGGUAACGGCUCACCUAGGCGACGAUCCCUAGCUGGUCUGAGAGGAUGACCAGCCACACUGGAACUGAGACACGGUCCAG